GACGAACGCUGGCGGCGUGCUUAACACAUGCAAGUCGAACGGAAAGGCCCUGCUUUUGUGGGGUGCUCGAGUGGCGAACGGGUGAGUAACACGUGAGUCACCUGCCCUUGACUUUGGGAUAACUUCAGGAAACUGGGGCUAAUACCGGCUAGGAGCUCCUGCUGCAUGGUGGGGGUUGGAACGUUUCGGCGGUUGGGGAUGGACUCGCGGCUUAUCAGCUUGUUGGUGGGGUAGUGGCUUACCAAGGCUUUGACGGGUAGCCGGCCUGAGAGGGUGACCGGCCACAUUGGGACUGAGAUACGGCCCAGACUCCUACGGUAGGCAGCAGUGGGGAAUAUUGCACAAUGGGCGGAAGCCUGAGGCAGCAACGCCGCGUGCGGGAUGACGGCCUUCGGGUUGUAAACCGCUUUCGCCUGUGACGAAGCGUGAGUGACGGUAAUGGGUAAAGAAGCACCGGCUAACUACGUG
rnacentral:rRNA from 1 species